AGUGAACGCUGGCGGUAGGCCUAACACAUGCAAGUCGAACGGCAGCACAGUAAGAGCUUGCUCUUACGGGUGGCGAGUGGCGGACGGGUGAGGAAUACAUCGGAAUCUACUUUUUCGUGGGGGAUAACGUAGGGAAACUUACGCUAAUACCGCAUACGACCUACGGGUGAAAGCAGGGGAUCUUCGGACCUUGCGCGAUUGAAUGAGCCGAUGUCGGAUUAGCUAGUUGGCGGGGUAAAGGCCCACCAAGGCGACGAUCCGUAGCUGGUCUGAGAGGAUGAUCAGCCACGCUGGAACUGAGACACGGUCCAGACUCCUACGGGAGGCAGCAGUGGGGAAUAUUGGACAAUGGGCGCAAGCCUGAUCCAGCCAUACCGCGUGGGUGAAGAAGGCCUUCGGGUUGUAAAGCCCUUUUGUUGGGAAAGAAAAGCAGCAGGUUAAUACCCCGCUGUUCUGACGGUACCCAAGGAAUAAGCACCGGCUAACUUCGUG
rnacentral:rRNA from 1 species